rnacentral:rRNA from 1 species
CGGGUUAGUGGCGAACGGGUGAGUAACACGUUGGAAUCUGCCCUCAACUCAGGGAUAGCCCAUCGAAAGAUGGAUUAAUACCGGAUAGUCCCUUCGGGGUAAAGAUUUAUCGGUUGAGGAGGAGCCUGCGGCCUAUCAGCUAGUUGGUAAGGUAAUGGCUUACCAAGGCAAUGACGGGUAGCUGGUCUGAGAGGAUGACCAGUCACAAUGGGACUGAGAUACGGCCCAUACUCC